rnacentral:rRNA from 1 species
UUGAACGCUGGCGGCAUGCCUUACACAUGCAAGUCGAACGGUAACAGGUCUUCGGAUGCUGACGAGUGGCGAACGGGUGAGUAAUGCAUCGGAACGUGCCUAUUUGUGGGGGAUAACGUAGCGAAAGUUACGCUAAUACCGCAUACGCCCUGAGGGGGAAAGCGGGGGAUUCGUAAGAACCUCGCGCAAUUAGAGCGGCCGAUGUCGGAUUAGCUAGUUGGUGGGGUAAAGGCUCACCAAGGCGACGAUCCGUAGCGGGUCUGAGAGGAUGAUCCGCCACACUGGGACUGAGACACGGCCCAGACUCCUACGGGAGGCAGCAGUGGGGAAUUUUGGACAAUGGGCGCAAGCCUGAUCCAGCCAUGCCGCGUGAGUGAAGAAGGCCUUCGGGUUGUAAAGCUCUUUCAGACGGAAAGAAAUCGGGCGCGUGAAUAGCGUGCCUGGAUGACGGUACUGUCAGAAGAAGCACCGGCUAACUACGU